AAAGGGCCGCGGUAAUCUGACCGUGCGAAGGUAGCAUAAUCACUUGUCCCUUAAUUGGGGGCUGGAAUGAAUGGCUGGAUGAGGGAUCAAGUGUCUCUAUAUUUUAACUAAAAUUUUACUUUUAAGUGAAAAGGCUUAAAUUUUAUUAAGUGAAGAUAAGACCCUAUAAAACUUAUAUAAAAAUGAAUUACGUUGUUUUUAAUAUUGUCUAAAAUUGGGUGUUUCAGAUUAUAUUUUGCUGGGGCGGUAGUAAUAGAAUAAGUAUCUGUUGUUUUAAUAGGUUAGUUGUGAUUAAAAGAUGAGCCUUUUAUAAGGAUUAAAAGAUCAAGUUACUUUAGGGAUAACAGCGUGAUUCUCCUUGAGAGAUCUAAUCGACAGGAGUAGUUGCGACCUCGAUGUUGAAUUAAAAUUUUCUACAAAGUGCAGAAGUUUUGUUAGUGAGUCUGUUCGACUUUUAAAAUUUUACAUGAUUU
rnacentral:rRNA from 1 species